CUACCCACCGGAGUUGUCUGUCAAAACGGAAGAAGAUCCCAGCUUACAAAAUCUAACAAUCAUCCAUAAAUAUUUGAUGAUAAAUAAUGGGCCUAGUUUUCUUCCAUCAACUUAUGUAACAAUCCAGUUACCUUAUCUGUACCAAACAGGUGAAAAGCUUGUAGAAUCUGCCAUUGCUAAAAUUAAAACUGAAAGUGGGGAAGAAGUGAAUUGUAGUUUAUCGUAUAAAUCAUCUCAGGGUGGUAACACACGACCCUCCACGACAACCAGCACAAUGACUACCACGACGACCGCUGGUACAAGCGUUCAAGCCGACACAAUCACCACUCAAACAACCACCGAAUCCACAACUGUAACAACAACGACCGCUGGCAAAAAUCACAAUAUUCCAGACGUAGCCCCUAGUCGUAAACGGCGAGAAGCGUCCGAUAAAAAGAAAGAUAUGGAAGACAAUGCACACCAUUUGGAUUGUAACAAUUAUUAUUGUGGUGAGAUGUUAUGUAAACUUCCUGAAUCACUUCAACCUAGAGAAAGCAUCAUGGUCGAUCUAACUAUUGUCAUGAAUAUUAAAGAUCUCCCGUUCAAGGAUCAUGAUGUAAUGAAAUAUAUGACCACGGCAACCGUUCUACAGCCCAGUCAUUUACUAUUUCUACCUUGGAAUGGAGAUAAAGAAGGACAGGUAUCGACCCCGAUAUUUAAAGAAUAUGGUAGUUCUGGUGUAAAUAUAUGGAUACCAAUUGGUAGUGUUAUAGGAGCUUUGUGUCUACUUGUUUUAUUGGCCAUUAUUCUUAGAAAGUGUGGGUUCUUUAAGAGGGAAAAGAAAGAUGCUCUACAGAAGUGGAAGAGAGAAAGUGGAUAUUACAAGAGAACGAGUUCUAGAAACCCUAACAACCAAACUUCAUAAAUAACAUUCUAGUGUAUUUAAUGUAUGACUUAUGCAAAUUUUGCAUACAACAUUAAAUUCAUUUCAAGUUUAGGUAAACCUGCAAGCAUGUCUUCUAGAUAAUAUUAAAUUCAUUGAUAAAUUUAUAAAUAUUUAAAAGUUUAAACAGCCUACAGAAAACACGCCUCGCCCUUAUUUGAUUAUCUCUCUUGUAUGAAUAUACUAGAUAAAAGGCAUAAUACAGAGUUAUUUUAAAUUCCAUAUCUACUGAAUACAUCUUUAAUAUCAGCUUUUCAUUUUUUAAUAAAACCAAGAAGGUUUAUAUAUUUUUAAUUUUUUUUUUAAUGUACCGUUUUUUUGUUGUUUUUUUUUUGUAUAAUAUACUAUUUUUU